GUUGUUCCUAGAGUUCUCUUAAACAUUUCACUAAAGAUUCCAUUUCUCGUCCACGUUCUUGAAGUGUUUGGAGGAACUCUCGGAAUCAC
rnacentral:pre_miRNA from 1 species